UGCAUAGUAGUGAAAGUUAGGAGAUAAAAAGAAACAGUAUAUAGGUAAAACGAGAAGAAUACAAUUGACCAAAGAAAACGUUAAACGUUAAAUUCUCAAGUUCAUAAAAUUUAUGAAAUUCACAUAUUUCACCAACUUUUUUAAUGAAAUUCUGAAAUUAUUCCACCAUUCUGAAAGUUACGAUUAGACGGUUCGAUGAAAACUGACUUAUAUUCCUUUAAUUUCAGCUGUUUAUAUUUGUUUCUUUGGCUUUUAAGCAUAAAGCAAGUUAGUAGUAUUAUUACUACAGUAUUAUAUUGAGAGGUUGCUCAGUUGCUGAAUGGAUUUAUUGUGUAUGGUUCGCUCGAUGAUGGCAGAUUCAAGCUCGUAAAUCGCGAAGCUUGGAAAGACUAAAGAGACACGAAGUGGAAGUGAAAGAGUAGAUGACAGGCGCGUCAGACGCCGUUGGAUGUUUGUCCCCGUCGGUUGCGAUGACUUCACGUCACAAGACUAGCCAGCGAAACCAGCUCACACUCGCACGUGCAGAAGCUGCUGACAUGCGUGAAUAAGAUUCAUUUAAUGUUAAAUCACUUCUCUAAAAACAUUGACUCAGUUCAGGAUGUGCUUGAAAGAUCGAAAGGGUGGCUUUCACGUCACGAUCAGAAUAUUUCAGGUCAUCAGCGGGGUGAAAAUUCACUACUCUGAUAAUUACCUUUUUAAAAUAUCUAAAAAAUUAUAUCCAAAUUUCCCAAAAUAAGCAACUUCAGUUAUUUUCUUGUUCACCCCCUCCUCCCCCCCCAACCAAACUAAACAUUCUCCGGACAAGACAUAUCAAAAGCGUUCGACAGUGCCACUUUUUUUUUUCCGUCUGAAAAUAUUCAUUCAAGAGUUUGUUAGAAAAGCCCAAAGGACAGUGCCACUUCUCAUUACCUUUUUUUCUUUCUCAUUAAGUGUUUUUCUCAUUACUUUCUUGUUUAAAGAUUUCAUUUGUCUUGAAAUAUAUUCAUGUUUUCAAACGAUUAUGUAGUAUCGUGUAUGUAUUAUUGAAAACUUGAUCAACAAAAAAAUGUACAUUAUAUCAAAGAAAUUGACGUAGUAUCAUAGGCAUAUUAAAGAUAGAUGGAAACGAUGUUACAUCCUACUAUAUAAAAGGAGCUAUUUUAAAGGCUUCUAAAGUGUGCCACAUAUGCAAAAAAUUCCUGGCCAAUCAAUCUAACAGCUCAUCUUAAACUGGGCUGAUAUCCAUGUCAAUUACGAAGCCCAAACAAUUUAUUUAAAUCCCAGUCAAUACUGAAGUCAGCCCAAUAUCCAUUUACGGUAUAUGAUACCAAGAAACUAAGAAGCUCAUUCUAUUUUAUGAAAUUACAUGCUUUUGUUUAGUCUUUCGCCACAGUGACCGGAGGCGUGUUGAAUCACAAAGCUUCUCACGCAUCCCAUUAUUAUACUAUUUCAAUUGAGGUUCUUAGUGUUGUUCUAACUUAUAUUUAAAAAUAAAUUUUAUUAAAUGUUAUAGAUUUUACUAUUAUCUUAAUAAAAUUUAAUAUAGAUUUGAUAUAUAUUAUAUCAAAUUAUAUAAAACUAAUAAAAAUGAUAUAAAAUUGUAUAAUUAUCAAACAUUUGGCCUAAACAAUAUUUUUAAAAUUUUGUAGAUAUAUAAGAAACUAAAUAUCAUACGAUUAGAUAUUAGAUGUUUAAGAAUUGCAUAUUUUUAAAAGCUUUAGUAAUACAAAUUGUAUAAUUAUAUAAAAAUAAUAAUAUUACUAAAUCUGGAAUGGUAUAUAUGAAUAUAUAUUUAUUUUAUAGAUGAUGCAUAAGAUAUUACCAACAUUAAAUAAAAUUAUCCGUCUCAUGUUUAUUUUUUUAAUUGUAGAGAUGACAUGUAGCAAAAUGCCCAAAAUGACCCUAAUACCCUAGAUAUAUAGAAAAUAUAAAAAAUUUGAAAUAUAAUACAAUAAUUAUUUGUAGAUAACUGGUACGUUUAACUUUGUGGGACAAGGAGACGUCUAAUUUCAGGGAGUAAAAUCGCAUAUCUACCAGAAAAAACUAAAUCGUAAUCAUCACAAGUAUCAUUCUACGGUUACAUGAAGGGAAACUAUCACUCACAACCACACCUGGAUCACGCUUCUACUUUGACAACAAUAUUGAUAUCAUACAACGCUUCCAAAAGAGGAAUAAAUGUCUAUCCUAAGCCUCAUAGCAAACGACACCAGUCAACUUUUUUAAAAUUUACGUUACAGCUUUCUACGUCAAUUAAAUAGGCACACUCAAAUACUAUUUUCUCUUACGAAUAUUAAAUUCAUCAACAUAAUUUAUUAUUCAAACUUACUUUAGUUUAUAAAAAAAAGUGAUCACCGCUUCCAACGUCUUCGCA